AACAUCGCGCACCUGCGGGAACCUGCGGAGGGAUCAUUACCGAGUUUACAACUCCCAAACCCCUGUGAACAUACCUAUACGUUGCCUCGGCGGAUCAGCCCGCGCCCCGUAAAACGGGACGGCCCGCCCGAGGACCCCUAAACUCUGUUUUUAGUGGAACUUCUGAGUAAAACAAACAAAUAAAUCAAAACUUUCAGCAACGGAUCU
rnacentral:misc_RNA from 1 species